GGAAUUCACCCAACCAUCAGCACCAGACGCAAAAAACUGAUACUGCUCUGGGAUACGAUAUUGUUCCCAGAGCCGUUCAACAUUAGGUUCGGAUAGUGAAGAAACCUCCACUUCCGGAUCCGAUGGGGAGUCAUUGGUCAGAUUCUCCGACCGACUAUCCCGAGAAGAAGAAGCCCUAGCCAUGGAAGAAGAAGACUAAAUAGAAGAAAAAAGAGAUGAACCCA
rnacentral:lncRNA from 1 species